AGAGAGAUUAAUAAACAAUCACGAGAUACAAUGAGAUAUUGCCAUACUUAUCGAGAAAUCGAUGAAGAGAAAUCCAACGUGAACGUGAAGUGAUAAAAAAAAAAGAGUCCGAAUUAGCAGAAUUGAAUCGAGGUUUACCUUGCAAUUUCCGUAUUUCUCUAUUUUUUAAAAAUUUUAAUAAAAUUCUGACAAACGUCGUCACACACAAACGUCAGCUGAUCUUAACGAGCGAUCGUGUUACGUGAUUCCUUCCGCUUUUGUAAUCGUCCGCAGUGACGUUAAAGCGACCGCCCGCACAACGGAUGUUCUUCAAGCCUGUAGUCUGUAUUCUCUUACGUUUUACAAGGUGAUUAGUGGUUAGCCAUGUCUGUCAUUUCGCGGCAAUCAUUCAUAGUACGAUCGCGGAUGUCAGUACUCAUGUACGUGACGGUGACAAAGUUCCAUCCGCGCGCGGCACUUUUAUCUUAUUUUUCUCGGUGCCAAAGUCCGCGCAUGGUAGACAUUAAUUAUAUUUUCCUACUUUGAGAUCUGGAAGGCCGACUUUGUCGCGCGACGGCAUUAUCUUAUCGCUAUUUUUCUGGUACAACUGUCUAAAUGUCAAUACUGCGAUUUAAUACGUUGGAAAUGAUCUCACAAUCAGCGAGAAGAAUAGUGAAGAGUACACUUACUUGGGGAACUGGUUGCUGUAACUGAGGAGGGUAACUUCACCCAAGCCGGAAGAGAGCGAUGUUAAGACGACGCCCAAAAUGGCAAGCCAUUCAGUAGUGCUCAACGACACCAUGAGAAAUCCUGCAGCGGAAAAUAACACACAGGCAUGGAAUCUUUACACCGGCAUCCAGAUAAGAGUUAAUUACAAAGGAAUUAUCGAGGAAUGUUAAUCGACGACAAAUUACGCAGUAAUUGUCACGAGAUAAUCACGCAAGAUCUAGAGGAGACUUGCGCGCGGUUUGCGUAAGGAAAAAAAGUGAGUCACGUGUCUCAUUUAAUUCAGUCAUCGCUGCAAUUAAAACUAACAAGAAUAAAACGCAUGUAGAUAUUCGUUUGCAGUUUGCUCACUAGCUUCGUUUCGAUCUCAACGAUCGCAGGAGAACGCCAGGAUAACGCGCGCAAGAAAGCGCACUCUCCGUAUCACGUGUGCUGAAAGAAAAGGAGAAAUGGAUACUCACUGCACUAGAAACGGCAAGAAAGGCGCCGUCAUCUUGAUCGCCAACGAUGGCAGGAUGUCUGCCAGAAGUAUAGCACCGGUCGAAACCGCAUUGCACGUACGAAUUCCUGAUGACACGAUAUUCAUGUUUUUUUCUCGAUCGGGGAAUCCGUCGAGCGAGACGUAAAUCAUUAAGCGUGACAGUUUUCCUGCUUUAAAAUGGGCGAAUUAUGUUACUAGACGAGUUAAUAAGUGUCAUUUUCGCGGAAGCAACUAUUUAUUGUUCGUUAUUAAGUCACGCAUCACGUAAUAGAUUAAUUCAAUGCAGAUCGAAGCGCGCAUUUUGCUCCCCUUCCAGCGCCGAUCUAUUUGCAACAUCGCCUAGAAAAUUUUCCACGGAAAUGCUUACGUAUUUCAUUAUCAGCGAUUAGUAUCGUAUAUUGAUAAAAACUUGAUACGUUACAUGCAGAGAAUUGAAAGCAGUAAUUUUUUACAAAGUUGAAUACCAGUUAAUUGACAUUUCGACCUAUGCGAGAAAUUCAAGAUAACCGAUUACGUCUAUCAAAUGUGCAGAUUUAAUUUUACUUUCGUGAGUCAUGUUUCUACAUUAAAAAUAGCAAAACGUGGACUGGUAUCUCCUUUUACUUUUUUUAUUGCUGAUAUAAUAAUUAAAUAAAUUAUUAGUUGUGAAACAAAUAUUUGGAUCAUCACAAUUGGCUAGUAAGUAUCGUAUUAUUUUAGAAACGAGGUCAGAAUAGUUAGUGCAGUAGAUUUUUAACGAUAUAUGAUAUAUAUGCGAUCUUUAUGCGCUUUGUGUUGUACUUUCGAAUCUGGCCUGAUAAACCUUGUGUGCGAUAAAACGUCGAUAAAAUAUCUUACGCGAGUUUUAUUAACGCAUUAUCGCAUUGUCGGAUAGAUUUUCAAGCUGAAAGGAAAUCGGUAUAGCUGUUGUAACAUAAUCUCUGGAUGGAAAUGCGAGAAUAUCAUUGUAAAUAUGACUGUAAAAAAUUGUUAAUAAAAAUUAUAUAAUUUUAUGUACACUGCAAA